rnacentral:lncRNA from 1 species
GCCGAUCUUUCUUAGAUCUUACUCCACGGAAAAGUAAAGCAAUUCUCAUCCAUAAAACAUGUUCUCAUUCCACGGUCCAGACCCAAGAGUCCCAAACGGAAAGGGAUGGAGAAGGCGAGAAGUGCGAUGAAGACGGCCUGGCGGACGACCGGGAGCCAUCCGAUCCCCAAGCGCGGGUGGGUGAAGCUGUUCAUCGCCGUUGGCAUCGCUCACUCCCUACCCGCACUCUUCUCCCCCGCCCGCCCCGCUUCUUGAUGUCGCAAGAGGAGGGAGAGCAAAAAAUUUUUUCCCUUGUCGUUCAUAUUAAUUGAUCGAACCAAGCGCUUUGUUCGAUCAAUCUGUUUGUAUAAAUUCUGAAUUAGAAGGAAGUAAAAACAAUUUUGCUUGUAAUAAUUUUCUUUUUGUUUUUUUCGCUAAAGUGGGUGAUUUAAAUAAUUCGCAUAUAAAUACAGCC